rnacentral:rRNA from 1 species
UACGUAGGGUGCAAGCGUUGUCCGGAAUUAUUGGGCGUAAAGAGCUCGUAGGCGGUCUGUUGCGUCCGCUGUGAAAACUCGAGGCUCAACCUCGAGAUGUCGGCGGAAACCAUCUGGCUAGAGUCCGGAAGAGGAGAGUGGAAUUCCUGGUGUAGCGGUGAAAUGCGCAGAUAUCAGGAAGAACACCUAUGGCGAAGGCAGCUCUCUGGGACGGUACUGACGCUGAGACGCGAAAGCGUGGGAGCGAACAGG